UACGAAGGGUGCAAGCGUUACUCGGAAUCACUGGGCGUAAAGCGUGCGUAGGCGGUUUCUUAAGUCUGUCGUGAAAGCCCUGGGCUCAACCUGGGAACGGCGAUGGAUACUGGGAGCUAGAAUGUGAGAGAGGAUGGUGGAAUUCCCGGUGUAGCGGUGAAAUGCGUAGAGAUCGGGAGGAACACCAGUGGCGAAGGCGGCCAUCUGGCUCAACAUUGACGCUGAGGCACGAAAGCGUGGGGAGCGAACAGG
rnacentral:rRNA from 1 species